rnacentral:rRNA from 1 species
AGUCACUGACAUUAGAUACCCGCGUAGUCCCAGCCGUAAACAAUGUGCGUUAGGUGUGUCGGUAACCACGUGUUACUGAUGCGCCGAAGAGAAAUCGUGAAACGCACCACCUGGGAAGUACGGUCGCAAGGCUGAAACUUAAAGGAAUUGGCGGGGAGCACCACAACAGGUGGAGCCUGCGGUUUAAUUGGAUUCAACGCCGGACAUCUCACCGGAUAAGACAGCUGAAUGAUUGUCAAUCUGAAGGUUUUACAUGACUAGCUG